GAGUUUGAUCCUGGCUCAGAUUGAACGCUGGCGGCAUGCCUUACACAUACAAGUCGAACGGCAGCAUGAUCUAGCUUGCUAGAUUGAUGGCGAGUGGCGAACGGGUGAGUAAUACAUCGGAACGUGCCCUGUAGUGGGGGAUAACUAGUCGAAAGAUUAGCUAAUACCGCAUACGACCUGAGGGUGAAAGUGGGGGACCGCAAGGCCUCAUGCUAUAGGAGCGGCCGAUGUCUGAUUAGCUAGUUGGUGGGUAAAGGCCCACCAAGGCGACGAUCAGUAGCUGGUCUGAGAGGACGAUCAGCCACACUGGGACUGAGACACAGCCCAGACUCCUACGGGAGGCAGCAGUGGGGAAUUUUGGACAAUGGGCGAAAGCCUGAUCCAGCAAUGCCGCGUGUGUGAAGAAGGCCUCGG
rnacentral:rRNA from 1 species